AUGCAAGUCGAGCGAGAAGACGUAGCAAUACGUUUGUAAAGCGGCGAACGGGUGAGGAAUACAUGGGUAACCUACCCUCGAGUGGGGAAUAACUAGCCGAAAGGUUAGCUAAUACCGCGUACGCUUCUUGGACUUCGGUUCAGGGAGGAAAGCGAUACCGUGGGUAUCGCGCUCUUGGAUGGGCUCAUGUCCUAUCAGCUUGUUGGUGAGGUAACGGCUCACCAAGGCUUCGACGGGUAGCUGGUCUGAGAGGACGAUCAGCCACACUGGCACUGCGACACGGGCCAGACUCCUACGGGAGGCAGCAGUAAGGAAUAUUGCGCAAUGGGCGAAAGCCUGACGCAGCGACGCCGCGUGGGGGAUGAAGGUCUUCGGAUUGUAAACCCCUUUCGGGAGGGAAGAUGGAAUGGGGUAACCCAUUCGGACGGUACCUCCAGAAGCAGCCACGGCUAACUUCGUGCCAGCAGCCGCGGUAAUACGAAGGUGGCAAAGCGUUAUUCGGAUUUACUGGGCGUACAGGGAGCGU
rnacentral:rRNA from 1 species